rnacentral:rRNA from 1 species
GUCCACGCUGUAAACGAUGGGUGCUAGGUGUUGCGGGUAUUGACCCCUGCAGUGCAGCAGCUAACGCAUUAAGCACCCCGCCUGGGGAGUACGGCCGCAAGGCUAAAACUCAAAGGAAUUGACGGGGGCCCCGCACAAGCGGUGGAGUAUGUGGUUCAAUUCGACGCAACGCGAAGAACCUUACCUGGGUUGGAAACCCCUCGAAACUCACAGAGAUGUGGGCGUGCCCUUCGGGGAACGAGGUGUUCAGGUGCUGCAUGGCUGUCGU